rnacentral:rRNA from 1 species
AGAUUGAACGCUGGCGGCAGGCCUAACACAUGCAAGUCGAGCGGCAGCACGGGUACUUGUACCUGGUGGCGAGCGGCGGACGGGUGAGUAAUGCCUAGGAAUCUGCCUGAUAGUGGGGGAUAACGUUCGGAAACGGACGCUAAUACCGCAUACGUCCUACGGGAGAAAGUGGGGGAUCUUCGGACCUCACGCUAUCAGAUGAGCCUAGGUCGGAUUAGCUAGUUGGUAGGUAAAGGCCUACCAAGGCUACGAUCUGUAGCUGGUUUGAGUAGGACGACCAGCCACACUGGGACUGAGACACGGCCCAGACU